GAUGAACGCUGGCGGCGUGCCUAAUACAUGCAAGUCGAGCGAACAGACGAGGAGCUUGCUCCUCUGACGUUAGCGGCGGACGGGUGAGUAACACGUGGAUAACCUACCUAUAAGACUGGGAUAACUUCGGGAAACCGGAGCUAAUACCGGAUAAUAUAUUGAACCGCAUGGUUCAAUAGUGAAAGACGGUUUUGCUGUCACUUAUAGAUGGAUCCGCGCCGCAUUAGCUAGUUGGUAAGGUAACGGCUUACCAAGGCAACGAUGCGUAGCCGACCUGAGAGGGUGAUCCGCCACACUGGAACUGAGACACGGUCCAGACUCCUACGGGAGGCAGCAGUAGGGAAUCUUCCGCAAUGGGCGGAAGCCUGACGGAGCAACGCCGCGUGAGUGAUGAAGGUCUUCGGAUCGUAAAACUCUGUUAUUAGGGAAGAACAAAUGUGUAAGUAACUAUGCACGUCUUGACGGUACCUAAUCAGAAAGCCACGGCUAACUACGUG
rnacentral:rRNA from 1 species